rnacentral:rRNA from 1 species
GCAGUCGACGAGAGAGAGGAGCUUGCUCUUCAAAUCGAGUGGCGAACGGGUGAGUAACGCGUGAGGAACCUGCCUCAAAGAGGGGGACAACAGUUGGAAACGACUGCUAAUACCGCAUAAGCCCACGGCUCGGCAUCGAGCAGAGGGAAAAGGAGUAAUCCGCUUUGAGAUGGCCUCGCGUCCGAUUAGCUAGUUGGUGAGGUAAUGGCCCACCAAGGCGACGAUCGGUAGCCGGACUGAGAGGUUGAACGGCCACAUUGGGACUGAGACACGGCCCAGACUCCUACGGGAGGCAGCAGUGGGGAAUAUUGCACAAUGGGGGAAACCCUGAUGCAGCGACGCCGCGUGGAGGAAGAAGGUCUUCGGAUUGUAAACUCCUGUUGUUGAGGAAGAUAAUGACGGUACUCAACAAGGAAGUGACGGCUAACUACGUGCCAGCAGCCGCGGUAAAACGUAGGUCACAAGCGUUGUCCGGAAUUACUGGGUGUAAAGGGAGCGCAGGCGGGAGAACAAGUUGGAAGUGAAAUCCAUGGGCUCAACCCAUGAACUGCUUUCAAAACUGUUUUUCUUGAGUAGUGCAG